rnacentral:rRNA from 1 species
AGGACGAACGCUGGCGGCGUGCUUAACACAUGCAAGUGGUGCGACGAACCAGGGCUUGCCCUGGGGCCAAGCCGCGAACGGGUGAGUAACACGUGAGUAACCUGCCCCGAUGACCGGGACAACCCGAGGAAACUCGGGCUAAUACCGGAUGUGGCGCACAGGCGUAAGCCUGUUCGCUAAAGGAAGCUUCGGCCUCCGCAUUGGGAGGGGCUCGCGGCCCAUUAGCUUGUUGGUGGGGUCAAGGCCUACCAAGGCGACGAUGGGUAGCUGGUCUGAGAGGACGAUCAGCCACACUGGGACUGAGACACGGCCCAGACUCCUACGGGAGGCAGCAGUGGGGAAUAUUGGACAAUGGGCGCAAGCCUGAUCCAGCCAUGCCGCGUGGAUGAUGAAGGCCUUAGGGUUGUAAAGUCCUUUCGGCGGGGAAGAUAAUGACGGUACCCGCAGAAGAAGCCCGGCUAACUUCGUGCCAGCAGCCGC